rnacentral:tRNA from 1 species
GGAGAGGUGUCCGAGUGGCUUAAGGAGCGGCCUUGGAAAGGCCGUGUAGGGCUUGUCCUUACCGCGGGUUCGAAUCCCGCCCUCUCCG